GCUGAAACUUCACACACACAUUCUGGGGACACCAAAGACCAAUAUUACAUCUUGUAUAAAUGGGCAUGAUAGGUGCCCUUUAACAAAGCUGCAGAGUCACUCUCA